GAAAGGCGCGCGAUACAGGGUGACAGCCCCGUACACAAAAAUGCACAUGCUGUGAGCUCGAUGAGUAGGGCGGGACACGUGGUAUCCUGUCUGAAUAUGGGGGGACCAUCCUCCAAGGCUAAAUACUCCUGACUGACCGAUAGUGAACCAGUACCGUGAGGGAAAGGCGAAAAGAACCCCGGCGAGGGGAGUGAAAAAGAACCUGAAACCGUGUACGUACAAGCAGUGGGAGCACGCUUAGGCGUGUGACUGCGUACCUUUUGUAUAAUGGGUCAGCGACUUAUAUUCUGUAGCAAGGUUAACCGAAUAGGGGAGCCGAAGGGAAACCGAGUCUUAACUGGGCGUUAAGUUGCAGGGUAUAGACCCGAAACCCGGUGAUCUAGCCAUGGGCAGGUUGAAGGUUGGGUAACACUAACUGGAGGACCGAACCGACUAAUGUUGAAAAAUUAGCGGAUGACUUGUGGCUGGGGGUGAAAGGCCAAUCAAACCGGGAGAUAGCUGGUUCUCCCCGAAAGCUAUUUAGGUAGCGCCUCGUGAAUUCAUCUCCGGGGGUAGAGCACUGUUUCGGCAAGGGGGUCAUCCCGACUUACCAACCCGAUGCAAACUGCGAAUACCGGAGAAUGUUAUCACGGGAGACACACGGCGGGUGCUAACGUCCGUCGUGAAGAGGGAAACAACCCAGACCGCCAGCUAAGGUCCCAAAGUCAUGGUUAAGUGGGAAACGAUGUGGGAAGGCCCAGACAGCCAGGAUGUUGGCUUAGAAGCAGCCAUCAUUUAAAGAAAGCGUAAUAGCUCACUGGUCGAGUCGGCCUGCGCGGAAGAUGUAACGGGGCUAAACCAUGCACCGAAGCUGCGGCAGCGACGCUGAUGCGUUGUUGGGUAGGGGAGCGUUCUGUAAGCCUGCGAAGGUGUGCUGUGAGGCAUGCUGGAGGUAUCAGAAGUGCGAAUGCUGACAUAAGUAACGAUAAAGCGGGUGAAAAGCCCGCUCGCCGGAAGACCAAGGGUUCCUGUCCAACGUUAAUCGGGGCAGGGUGAGUCGACCCCUAAGGCGAGGCCGAAAGGCGUAGUCGAUGGGAAACAGGUUAAUAUUCCUGUACUUGGUGUUACUGCGAAGGGGG
rnacentral:rRNA from 1 species